UCCAGUGUGGUUUAGUGGUUUGAGAGUUGGACUAUGACUCUAGAGACCAGGGUUCAAUUCUCAGCUCUGCUA